GACGAACGCUGGCGGCGUGCUUAACACAUGCAAGUCGAACGGAAAGGCCCUGCUUUUGUGGGGUGCUCGAGUGGCGAACGGGUGAGUAACACGUGAGUAACCUGCCCUUGACUUUGGGAUAGCUUCAGGAAACUGGGGCUAAUACCGGAUAGGAGCUCCUGCUGCAUGGUGGGGGUUGGAAAGUUUCGGCGGUUGGGGAUGGACUCGCGGCUUAUCAGCUUGUUGAUGGGGUAGUGGCUUACCAAGGCUUUGACGGGUAGCCGGCCUGAGAGGGUGACCGGCCACAUUGGGACUGAGAUACGGCCCAGACUCCUACGGGAGGCAGCAGUGGGGAAUAUUGCACAAUGGGCGGAAGCCUGAUGCAGCAACGCCGCGUGCGGGAUGACGGCCUUCGGGUUGUAAACCGCUUUCGCCUGUGACGAAGCGUGAGUGACGGUAAUGGGUAAAGAAGCACCGGCUAACUACGUG
rnacentral:rRNA from 1 species